rnacentral:rRNA from 1 species
UCAAACACCACCACGAUGUCCGCCAGAAGACUACGAGUGAAAAACUCAAAACUCAAAGGACUUGACGGUGUCCCACAUCAACCUAGAGGAGCCUGUCCUAUAAUCGAUACUCCACGCUUCACCUUACCCCUUCUCGCAGAUCCAACCUAUAUACCGCCGCCGUCAGCUCACCUCGUAAGAGCCCCACUGUGAGCCCCAAAGCCCCUCGCUCUCACGCCAGGUCAAGGUGUAGUCCAUGAGGGGGCAGCGAUGGGCUACAUUUUCUAACCUAGACCACACCCACGCACACAUGAAACAUCUGCCAAAAGGCGGAUUUAGCAGUAAGCACAGCAAGCAUGCUCACCUGAACCCCGCCCUGGGACGCGCACACACCGCCCGUCACCC